AUUUGGUCACUCAUUGUGUUACCACGGAAUGACAUGCGCCCUAACAAGAUGUUAGGAGUUGGUCUCAUAACAAUCUACUUAAUGUUUCUAGCAUUCAGAUUAAGCACAUCUAUAGGUGAUGAUAUGUCAAUGGAAGGAAUAUCUUGACUUUUAUAUUGUUACAAGCAAAGGCAUUUGAUAUUCUUUAAUCAAUGAAUUCGUAAAUUUUGAUCCUGCC
rnacentral:misc_RNA from 1 species